UCAUUGAGUAAAAUAUUAGAUCUUCUUCAAAGUCAAAAUUUUAUCCUAUAAACAUUUUUAUUACAUGAAAAAUAAACCAAUUUAACGAGGAAUGAACACGUAUCGAGUUUGCUCCGAAUUUAUUCGCUAGGAUCAUUGUCAUCACUUUCACUUUUCACGCGAUUUGCUCUAAUAGUGGUUCUAGUGUAUAUCAAAAAGCCGCCAUGGAUGACACCAUGUCGACCCUAACGAAAAUGACCCGCACGGUUAAGAAACUCGAAAUGCCCAGACCCUUGAGAUCAACAACCAGUACACAUAUCCGCAACUCUGUUUUAGACAUAAAAAUAAAUUCUGUUGACGACAUUAUAGUUUUCACUGAGAGGGUGGCUUGUCAAAUGAUGCAGGGAAAUUUUGACCAAGCGCUUCAGAGCAAUGUUUCCACUAUGUACUCCAACCUUAAGGUUUUUGGUGCACAAAGUGAACUACUCUACAAGGACUUUCUUGACAGAUAUUUCGUCAUUUUCCGCAAUGGAUCUCAGGAUGAGCGGCUGGAUAAAAAAACGCGACUUCAUCUGCUUGAGUUAAUAGAGUUGCGUGCUAAAAACUGGCAGGGUUCAGACUUCAUGAGCCAAUACUACAGGCACCGCGGCACACACACUGAGCCAAUUCUGGUGCCGACGAUGGAUGGUUCCGGGACGAGCGCGCUGGGCGGCUCGGUGUCCCCCACGCUGGCUGCGCCGGCCGAGCCGCCCGCGAUGCUGGCCCCGGGCGAACUCAUCAAGACCUCGGGCAAAUUCCCCAAGCCCACCAAGAUCCCCGGCAAGAACUACUCCAAGGAUGAGGUUGUGAUACGGAAUGCUGACUCAGGAAAAGUGAUGGGUAUCAAGGGCAGGCGGGUGCACAUGAUCGAGGAGCUAAGUGACACGAUCAUAUCGUUUCAGCGAGUGAGCCCCGGUGCGAAGGAGCGUCUCGUGCAAAUAACUGGCCCGAACGAGGAAAAUGUAAACCACGCAAAACAUUUGAUCGGAGACACGAUCCGGCGCAACGCGUCGCCCGUGCGGCUGGAGCCCAUGGAGGGCGCAGCGCUGGGAGCUUCGCGCGCCUCCCUCGACUCCACCGGCUCCGACGAGCGUCCGCGGGAGAAGUCGCCCCACAACAACAGAGCGCUCCUUCACAGUUUCUCGACAAACGACGCAGCGCUGGGAGAGUAUAAAUACACUGUCACUUUUGGGGAACAUUCCAUGAAGAUUACUGGCAAUAAUUUGGAUCUUGUUAAGACGGCAAAACUAGUGUUGGACGAGUACUUCGAGAACUUCGCGUUGGAAGCCGUAGGGCUGGGCUCCGGCGACUUCUUCACGCUGUCGCAGCGGCCCGCCGCCGCGCAGCUGCUGCGCGACGACGCGGCGCUCAACGGCGACGACGACGUGUUCCUCGCCGACGCGCCCAACAGCCCCGACGACCAACAAGCGGAAGGCGAAGCUGUGCCGCGCCGCCCAAGGUUCUCGCGCGCCGCCUCCACCGACAAGAGCGCAGCUCGAUGCGCGCAGGAGGCGGGUCGCGGCGCGUGUACUCGCCGGAGACGCUGAUGAAGCUGGCCGACUCGCCGCAGUGCAAGGAGGCGCCCGACCGCCUCGCCGCCUUCCCGCCCGAGCUGGUGCGCAAGAGUUGCCUGGAGUUCGACAGCGCUACCUACCUGAAGCGCGCGCGAGCGGCCGGCGGCGUCACCAUCGCGCAGGACGUGCCCGACUCGCCCGAACCCGAGUGACGUCACUGCGACCCUCCCCAACCCCCCGCCACGCGCCCGCCCUGCACCGCUCCUCACCUACUACUUACCAGCACAUUUGCACCUAAAUAUACAACAGAAAUCGGGCGGGCGCUUAGUAUAUGUCUCAUACGCUUUUCGAUGCAGCUAAUCUCACAUUUACGCAUAACGCACUACGAACGAAGCGAAGCAGUUCACUGGUAGCUUUAUGAUUGGGAGCAACUAAAAAUUUGUCGUUUAGAGCCGUCCGUGUAUUGGUAUAGAUGUUUAAUUGUUUUUUCUUUUAUGUAAUGUGACUAAUUUUAGCGGACUCAUUUAACUACUAAAAAGUAUUAGCUCACCAAAAUAUUUAUUUAUUUUAGCGUCGGUAUGAAUUUAUAUGCCGCACUUUUUAUUAACGAAUAAUAAUAUGUUGUAUCUUGAAACUUCGUGUAUGGAUCUGUUUGAUCGGAAUUGUGAUAGAUAUUUUACAAUAUAAAAUUCAACAUUAAGACACUUUAAGCGUCAAGAUACAGUCUACUAUAUAAUUUUAUGAUCUCUAUAAUUAACAUAAUAUGCUUGAAUAAUAUCGCGUUGCUGGAAUGCGAUUCAUUUAUACUCCACUUUGAACAAACGAUAAUAAAAAAACGCAAUUCUACAGAUCCCCUGUGUGUACCGAGGUAAUAACUCUUCUACUAUACAUAUUGACGAAAAGAAAUUAUAUUUCGGACGUCAAAGAGUGAUUCCAUUUAUAUUUUAAGAAGAAUGCAUGCAUUUCUUUGUGUGUUUGUAUAUUUGUUACGGGCGAGUAUUCUUGUAAUCAUAAUGGACAGUACGAAUAAUGCGAAUGAAAAUUGGGCAUUGUACCUAAUUAAAUGUCUAUUUAUUAUGUCACUAGCUGGCCUAAUGAGCUUUGUACAACCUGAAAUGGACUAUUGAAAAACAUACAUCUGAGCGAUAGAACUUGGUCCUUUUUAGAAUUCGGUUACAAAUAAUCUAAUUCCUUUAAAAAAUACCUGCUUUCUAGUAUGUAUGUAAGUGGUAGAUAAAUUAGGGUGUUCGUUUUUUGUCACUUUUAGAUUUAUUAUCAGUUUUUAAAUUCUUAUCUCUAAACACAGACCCCGAUCCAGGGGGGGGGGGACAAGCGUUAUAUACAAGCGCCCAGAGCGGCAAAAAUGAAGUGUAGCAAAAUUUACUUAUUCCCCAGCAGACCUUUUUUCCCUCUGUGUUUGGGUCACAGGAAUUGAUAGGUGUACUAUAUUUUAACUUAAUUGGUCCAGUAGAAUCGGAGAACAUUGAUUGUGACAGACAGACAUUCGGAUGUGCGCGAGAGAUCUUAUAAGGGUUCCGUUUUACGUACGUACAUUCGGAACCUUAAAAAAAAGCAUAUUAUGGAAAGAGCAGCAAAAUUUAUCAAAUUGCUGGAUCGGGUCCUAACAGCACAGUUUAUAUGUUCUUAGCGAUGAGUAUGCUCUAUUCAACUUUGCAUUAUUUAUGGUGCGGUUUUCAUUGUGAAUGAGUUACUAUGCCCGUGACAUUCAUAUUCAGAUUUGUACUCGUAUCUAGCGUCUAGUCUUGUGGGUAGGUAGAUUCUCACUAUGUCGUAAGCGUUUGUUUUCGAGAAAGCCUGCCAAUCUUGAGUUUUAAUUUUAAUGUUAAAAGUGAAAUUAUAUUAUUAACGGAUAAUCUUUUAAUUGUUGUUAUUAUUAUUAUUAUUAGAGUAUAUAAAUAUCGCUGUGCAAACUAAACCAAAUAAAUAAAUUUUACAUUAUGGUUGUUAUAAAAAAAGUAUUAAAAGUAUUUUAACGUUGUUGUCGGGCUUUCUCUUGUGUAAAAUGUUUAUAUGGUCUCGUAAAUAAAAUGCAUUAACAUAUUUUACUUUAACAGUCUGUACCUACUUGUGGGGGGUCGGUCAAGCAGAAUAUACUAUACUAUACUAUUCUUGUCUGAUCUGAUAAAUAUACAGGGUGCUCGGUAGUAUUUCCCAUAACUUCAAGGUGUUGACAAGACCACUUAUAGGAGCCGAACUGCAUGACUAAUAUUUUUUUUAAUAAAAAAAAUUAAAACAUUUUAUGUUUUCAUACAAAGUAAUUCAAAUAUUUCCGAUUAUCCCCAUGUAACACACGCCUUUAUUUAUCCUUGCAUUUUAAAAUACGUAAAACUUGGCUACGUCAUAAUUAUAAGGAUGCGUAUAAGGGACACAUUUUAAGAUCUAUUUACAAAAGAAAUAUUAUUUACCCUGAAAAUAUUAAUUUUAGAACACAUGUUCCUUGAACAUUUUUAAUUAAUUUUCGGUAAAGAAUAUAACCCCAGAGUUAUGGGAAAUACUCCCCAGCACCCUGUAUAGUGACCGAUUAACGUGAACAAAUUGAUAAAAAAUGUCUACCAUUAAACGUACAGACCUUUUUUACCAGGUAAGAAACCAGACUGUUAUUUAGUUACAAAGGAAAAAGUUUUAUUUUCGAGAUUGUUUAAAAAGUAUAUCUAAAAUGUCUAUAUCAGAAAUAUUCUUGUUACUUUUAAGACUGUUAAAAAAUAUCACCUUUACGGUAUAUAUGGCCUUAUUAUAUACAUAUUAUACCCCCAAAUAUUAUGUUACUUUAUUGGAUUUUUAGUUUAUUUUUUUUUUGUUAACAAAACAUAUUAUUAUACAUGUGUUGGUGGAAUUUAUUUGAAAUUACUAAAUAUGUGAUGUAAGUAAUUAUAUUGUUUGUCUAUGUAUUUACAUUGUGAAACUCGAAGCAAUAUUAAAUUCUUAGUAUUAGAUGUUGACAUUGGGUAAGUACAUAAUAUUUUGAGUGUGCUCAAUCAAUACAUAAUAUAUCGACUGUUAGGCAAAAGUCACGUACCAGCGGGUGCUCUUGGUAAAGUAUCAUUUAAAUGUUAGUUGUUUACACCAAUUUUUGUUCUACGUCCAACUAAAGGCUAUAUUGUGAAAAUUUAUGAUAUAUACUAAAUUUUCUAAUAAAGUUGUGUUUCAUUAGCCAUUUACCUAAACUCAAACUCGGGCGUAAUUAGAUUUCAAAGACUAAUUGGAAUAAAAGAAUUAUAUUAUAAGAUGUGAAAUCUAAUAAUAUAGUAAAUCUAGGAAAAAUCAAAAGCAAGUAUCAGUAAGAGCCUCAUAUUUAAAAGGAAAUAGGUACAAAUAAAACAUUAGAAUGUCAAUAAUGUUUUAAUUAUAUUUACAAACAAUUAAUAGAUAUUUAUAGAUUGUACAACAAUUGCUGCCACCAUAAUCAUAUACGUUACAUACUAUGUCAUAUUUUCAUGAUAAUAUAUCCAACAUAAUUAAUCAAGAAUGAAUUAAUUAGCGCUCAUAGCGGAGUAUUAGCAAAAUAAAAUCUCCAUUUACAAAAAGUAUCCACAACUAGAAGUAAAAUCUAUAAAAUUCAUUAAAUAAUACAUACCAGCCAAAAUCCCGGUUUUCCCAAAAUGUAGGUUACAAAAUUAGACCCAAUGCAAUUUUUAAAACUCCAGUUUUAGUUAAUGUAACGUAACACUAUUUUUAGAGGUAAAAUCACAAAAGUAGAUUUUGACCUUUAGAAUAUAUUUUCCUAGCAUUUUUUGCACUAAGAAAAUGUAAGUGUUUUUGCUCUGAUUGAUUUUAUUUAUUAAUAUUCAUUGUCUACACAAAUGGCACAUAAUUUUGAUCUUUACUUUACUUAGUCAUGUACUUACUAUCACAAUAAUAUAAAUUAAUAAAUUAAAACAAGAAAAUAUAUCUGAAAGAAUAAAAUAUUCAGUUUUACUAAUACUUAAGAGGUUGCAAAUUCAGCAGUUCAUUUUAGCUUAAAUAUAAAUGCUUUAUAAAUAAAUAGCUUAGCUUGUAGCCAUCGAUCUCCUAUAAAAAAGUGGAUGCACCAUCA